rnacentral:lncRNA from 1 species
CCACCAUUCUUUCGGAUUUCCUACCAAGUUGCAUUCAGAAAACAUGGCACACAAGUUAUCCAUUUCAUCUUCAACCAUGUUGGCUUGAUUCUUUUUCUUCUUAUCAUUCUUUAGCGCACGACAAUCCACUUCUUUAUGCCCAAUAUUUCCACAGUUGUGGCAAUUACCCUUGAACUUCUUCUUGCUUGGGUAAUUCUUUAGUCCAGAAGCCUUUUUCCUCUUCUUAUUUUAUGGUGCCUCCUCAACAACGUUUGCCCCCACAAUUGUCGAGUUUCCACGUGAC